UCAAGAAAGCCGAGCUUUCUUGAUGGAGGGGAGCGGCAGACGGGUGAGUAACGCGUGGGAAUCUACCUAGCUCUACGGAAUAACCCAGGGAAACUUGGACUAAUACCGUAUACGUCCGAGAGGAGAAAGAUUUAUCGGAGUUAGAUGAGCCCGCGUUGGAUUAGCUAGUUGGUGGGGUAAAGGCCUACCAAGGCGACGAUCCAUAGCUGGUCUGAGAGGAUGAUCAGCCACACUGGGACUGAGACACGGCCCAGACUCCUACGGGAGGCAGCAGUGGGGAAUAUUGGACAAUGGGCGCAAGCCUGAUCCAGCCAUGCCGCGUGAGUGAUGACGGCCUUAGGGUUGUAAAGCUCUUUCAACGGUGAAGAUAAUGACGGUAACCGUAGAAGAAGCCCCGGCUAACUUCGUGCCAGCAGCCGCGGUAAUACGAAGGGGGCUAGCGUUGUUCGGAAUUACUGGGCGUAAAGCGCACGUAGGCGGAUACUUAAGUCAGGGGUGAAAUCCCGGGGCUCAACCCCGGAACUGCCUUUGAUACUGGGUAUCUAGAGUAUGGUAGAGGUGAGUGGAAUUCCGAGUGUAGAGGUGAAAUUCGUAGAUAUUCGGAGGAACACCAGUGGCGAAGGCGGCUCACUGGACCAUUACUGACGCU
rnacentral:rRNA from 1 species